UCCUACAUUUUAGCAAGUAUUUGAUCUUAACACACUAAUAAGGAGGGCAAGUUCAAGGGGCUUAUAUUUUGAUUGGAACUACACAUUUCUAGUCACUAUAUUAACAGUCCAACUAUUUAGGUAGUACUUUUAUAUGCUCUUGUCAUCUUGAUCACAACAGUUUCAGUUUUCCAAUACAUUUAUAUGCUAUCAAUUUCAGAGACUGUUGCCAUGGAGACUUGUUCACAAGAGGACAUGGAAGGCGGUGUGCCACAAGGAGAGGAUUUAGAAGAUGAGGACAGUGUGCCACCCCUAUUUGAAUGUACCUCAUCAUCUGCUCAAAACGAAGCGGUGUCAGCAAAAAUGACAGAAGCCAGUGUGGCACAAGGCGGGGACUCAGAUGAUGAUGGUGUGGCAUCCCUACAAGAAUGUACCUCAUCAUCUGCCCAAAAGCAGAUGGUGUCAACAAAAAAGAGAGGUAAACAAUCUGCUGUCAAAAGAAGCUGGACACCAGAGGAAUCUGCUGCAGUUGACAGACAUUUAAGGAAAUUCAUAGUGAGAAGCCAAGUACCCGGAAAAGUGGACUGUGAGCGCUGUAUUACUGCAGAACCUCAAGCACUA